rnacentral:rRNA from 1 species
UACGUAGGGGGCAAGCGUUGUCCGGAAUUAUUGGGCGUAAAGAGCGCGUAGGCGGUCCGGUAAGUCGGCUGUGAAAGUCAAGGGCUCAACCCUUGAAAGCCGGCCGAUACUGCCGGACUAGAGUCCGGAAGAGGCGAGUGGAAUUCCCGGUGUAGCGGUGAAAUGCGCAGAUAUCGGGAAGAACACCCGUGGCGAAGGCGGUUCUCUGGGACGGUACUGACGCUGAGACGCGAAAGCGUGGGGAGCGAACAGG